UGACUUGAGGAUGUUGGCAUUGAAGUAC
rnacentral:piRNA from 2 species